UUGGCCUACGGCCACGCUAAAAUUGUCCACAGCUCAGAAACUGUGGCCACAUAUAUGAUUUAGCCAUGAUUAUCAAAGCGUAGACGUAUGUUAUAGAAAUAUUGAAUCCGGAGUGUAAAACUGUGGCCUGUAUAACGGUAGAUAUUUUAAGCCGCAACUAAGAAACCGAGGCCUAUAAUUUUCAGUUCAAACUGUGGCCAAAACCCCAAAAAAAACCCCUCCAAAAGUUCCCUCCUUUUUUUUUUAGUUUCCCUCUAUAUCUUUUAAUAUUUUCUUUUCUAUUUUUUUUAAUUAAAAAAAAGAAAAAAAUGAAAGAACACGAACAAAAACUCCAUCUCCCAAAGCCAUAUGAACAAAAAACACGCACACUCUGAAAACUCCAUCUCCCAAAACUAUCUCGCUUCGCCGCUCCACCGCUCCGCCGCUGCUGCCACCUCCAUCGCUUACAGUUGAGGUACCAAAGCUUCUGGAGGCUUCCUCUAUUCAUCUGCGUACGAUUAUCUGGCUUCUGGAGGCUAAUACGGGGAGGAAUAUUCUUGAAACAGAUCAUCCAGAAGGUCCUUUUGGCACUAAGCUCAAUUCCCUCAAAGGAGACGAAGGAAAGCGACAACUGCAUUUUAUUUGUGUGUGACUCCAUUUCUCUGUUUUAAGAUUAUCAAGCGAUGGACAAAGAGUGGACUAAAUUACCGUGGUUUAGUCAAGAGUACAUCAACGGUGUUACUCGAUUUUUAGACUUUGCCUUCACUAAAGGAAGUCCUCAAGGAGGUGAACUUCUAUGCCCUUGUGCUAAGUGUAAAAAUAUAUAUUGGAAAACCAGGGAUAUUAUUAGGGAUCACCUAAUAGCCAAAGGUUUUCUAGACGGUUAUGACGUUUGGGUGCACCAUGGGGAGAAACUACAAAGGUCUAUGGAAAUUGGU